UACGUAGGGUGCGAGCGUUGUCCGGAAUUAUUGGGCGUAAAGGGCUCGUAGGCGGUUUGUCGCGUCGGGAGUGAAAACAUCCAGCUUAACUGGGUGCUUGCUUUCGAUACGGGCAGACUAGAGGUAUGCAGGGGAGAACGGAAUUCCUGGUGUAGCGGUGAAAUGCGCAGAUAUCAGGAAGAACACCUAUGGCGAAGGCAGCUCUCUGGGACGGUACUGACGCUGAGACGCGAAAGCGUGGGGAGCGAACAGG
rnacentral:rRNA from 1 species